rnacentral:rRNA from 1 species
CGGAGGGGCUAGCGUUGUUCGGAAUUACUGGGCGUAAAGCGCACGUAGGCGGAUUGGAAAGUUGGGGUGAAAUCCCGGGGCUCAACCCCGGAACUGCCUCCAAAACUAUCAGUCUUGAGUUCGAGAGAGGUGAGUGGAAUUCCGAGUGUAGAGGUGAAAUUCGUAGAUAUUCGGAGGAACACCAGUGGCGAAGGCGGCUCACUGGCUCGAUACUGACGCUGAGGUGCGAAAGCGUGGGGAGCAAACAGGAUU